UCCUCAAGCAUAAAUCCAUAAUGCCUACAAGAAUGCUCAUCCAUCAAUCCUUUUAAGGAUCAUUUGAACUAUUUAUCUAAAAUGCAAUUCAUAUCAAGAAAAUAAAUUUUGCAACUAGCCUUCGCCUCAGUUAUUAAUGAUCCUAAAUCCUAAGAGAAGGGUAUUAAAUUGUCUACAAAAACCAAAAUGUGUGAAAAUUUUUGUUCUAGGUUCGGGUCCAUUAAGAUUAAUUGCAAAAGUUUUG
rnacentral:misc_RNA from 1 species